AUUCCAGCUCCAAUAGCGUAUAUUUAAGUUGUUGCAGUUAAAAAGCUCGUAGUUGGAUUUUGGGUGCGGCAGGCCGGUCCGCCCUUUGGGUGUGCACUGGCAGGCGGCAUCUUUCUGCCGAGGGCGCGCGUCUGGCCUUUACUGGUCGGGCCGCGGAGUCGGCGCAGUUACUUUGAAAAAAUUAGAGUGUUCAAAGCGGGCCUACGCUUGAAUAUAUUAGCAUGGAAUAACACCAUAGGACUCCUGUCCUAUUCUGUUGGUCUUCGGGAUGGGAGUAAUGAUUAAGAGGAACAGUUGGGGGCAUUCGUAUUUCAUUGUCAGAGGUGAAAUUCUUGGAUUUAUGAAAGACGAACUUCUGCGAAAGCAUUUGCCAAGGAUGUUUUCAUCG
rnacentral:rRNA from 1 species